rnacentral:rRNA from 1 species
AGAGUUUGAUCCUGGCUCAGAUUGAACGCUGGCGGCAUGCCUUACACAUGCAAGUCGAGCGGCAGCGCGGGGGCAACCCUGGCGGCGAGCGGCGCACGGGUGAGUAAUGCAUCGGAACGUGUCCUCUUGUGGGGGAUAACCAGUCGAAAGACUGGCUAAUACCGCAUGAGAUCGAGAGAUGAAAGCAGGGGACCCGCAAGGGCCUUGCGCGAGAGGAGCGGCCGAUGCCCGAUUAGCUAGUUGGUGGGGUAAAAGCCUACCAAGGCGACGAUCGGAGCUGUGAGAGAACGACCAGCCACACUGGGACUGAGACACGGCCCAGACUCCUACGGGAGGCAGCAGUGGGGAAUUUUGGACAAUGGGGGCAACCCUGAUCCAGCCAUGCCGCGUGUGUGAAGAAGGCCUUCGGGUUGUAAAGCACUUUCGGCCGGAACGAAAUCGCACUGGUGAAUAUCCAGUGUGGAUGACGGUACCGGAAGAAGAAGCACCGGCUAACUACGUGCGCACCGCGGCAAUACGUAGGGUGCGAGCGUUAAUCGGAAUUACUGGGCGUAAAGUGUGCGCAGGCGGUUUCGCAAGUCAAGUGUGAAAGCCCCGGGCUUAACCUGGGAACUGCGCUUGAAACUACGGAACUCGAGUAUGGCAGAGGAAGGGGAAUUCCACGUGUAGCGGUGAAAUGCGUAGAGAUGUGGAGGAACACCGAUGGCNGCAGCCUUCUGGGCCUACUGACGCUCAUGCACGAAAGCGUGGGGAGAAACAGGAUUAGAUACCCUAGUAGUCC